GUAAAUAUAGUUUACUUAAAACAUUAGAUUGUGAAUCUAAAAACAGAAGUUAAUUCUUCUUAUUUACC
rnacentral:tRNA from 1 species